ACAAGCCGCUACCGUCCUUGUUCCUCUCAAUUUCUUUUGUCUACAACUAAAGUAAAAACACACAAACACCUAAAACAACAUUUUGCCUUCAUCAUCUUCCUGGAGAAACUUUAUAAACACACAUGAAGAAAUCAUCCACACCAAAUAUCCAGAACCCUCAUUCCUCAAACAACCACACACCUCUACUCCCUCUCGGUUCUCUACACCCGAGCCGGCUGCCAAAGCCGAUUAACCGGCCGACUACCGAUGAUGGUUUCUCCGGUGAGACGCCAUAACACCCUCUAACCUCCCCUCGACACACACACCCGGUGAAGUUCGGCGGCGGCGUGACAUCUAGAACAGAGAGAGAGACCGUUAUAGAGAGAGACGUGAGGAGAGAGAGAGAGUGAGCACCGAAGGAAAAGAGCCGGCCGACCGACGAGGUGCCGGCGGUGCACGGCGACAGUGUGCGACGUCAGUCGUCUGCAGUAACGGGGCGACGGUGGUGUUCCUGGGUUUCCGACGAGAUUACGGUGGUGGUCUUAUUGUCGGCUCUGGCACGGUGGAGCGUCGGCUCAGAUUUUGCUCAGUUUUGGGUUUGGUCCGGGUCAAGAAUGGUGCGGGUCAACACAGGAGCCUCGGGUCAGAUUUCGGCUCAAGGUUCGGUCUUGGUUCAGUUUCAGAUCUGGUGGUGGUUCGAGUAAUGUUUGGUUCGGUCAACGGGUCAGCAGGCUACACUCCUCAGUUUCGAGUUUCGAGUCACGCGUCGGGUUCGGGUCAAACCCGGUCAACAAGUCAAAACUGGUCAAACCCCAGUCAACGGCAGUCAACUGUCGGGUCAACAGAUGGUCAACAACAGUCAACGAAAGACCCGACCCGAUUCGACUAAAUAUUAGUUUAGUUUUAUACUUUGACGAAAAUUACAUUUUGAUUACAUUGCGUUGAAUAUUGUUGAAUUGUUGAUUGAUUUUUGACAAAUAACGACAACUUGAGUUGUCGGGGUUAUUCUAAAAA